rnacentral:rRNA from 1 species
GAAGGUAGCGUAAUCAUUUGUCUUUUAAAUAGAGACCUGUAUGAAUGGCAUAACGAGGGUUUAACUGUCUCCUUCCCCUAGUCAAUGAAAUUGAUCUGCCCGUGCAGAAGCGGACAUAAACACAUAAGACGAGAAGACCCUAUGGAGCUUUAGACAAAAGAUCAAACAUGUAAAGAAACCAAACCAACCAAAAGGAACACAAAGGCCACAAAACCCGACGUAAACUGAUCCAAAUGUCUUCGGUUGGGGCGACCAUGGGGAAAAGAAAAACCCCCACGAGGAACUAGGGGCAAUCCAUAAACCAAGAGAGACAUCUCUAAGCAACAGAAAAUCUGACCAAAAAUGACCCAGGAUACUAAUCCUGAUCAACGAACCAAGUUACCCUAGGGAUAACAGCGCAAUCCUUUCCCAGAGUCCAUAUCGACGAAAGGGUUUACGACCUCGAUGUUGGAUCAGGACAUCCUAAUGGUGCAGCCGCUAUUAAGGGUUCGUUUGUUC